CCUACGGGAGGCUGCAGUGAGGAAUAUUGGUCAAUGGACGAGAGUCUGAACCAGCCAAGUAGCGUGAAGGAUGACUGCCCUAUGGGUUGUAAACUUCUUUUAUAUGGGAAUAAAAUGUUCCACGUGUGGGAUUUUGUAUGUACCAUAUGAAUAAGGAUCGGCUAACUCCGUGCCAGCAGCCGCGGUAAUACGGAGGAUCCGAGCGUUAUCCGGAUUUAUUGGGUUUAAGGGGAGCGUAGGUGGAUUGUUAAGUCAGUUGUGAAAGUUUGGGGCACAACCGUAAAAUUGCAGUUGAAACUGGCAGUCUUGAGUACAGUAGAGGUGGGCGGAAUGCGUGGUGUAGCGGUGAAAUGCUUAGAUAUCACGAAGAACUCCGAUUGCGAAGGCAGUUCACUGGACUGCAACUGACACUGAGGCUCGAAAGUGUGGGUAUCAAACAGGAUUAGAUACCCGGGUAGUC
rnacentral:rRNA from 1 species